rnacentral:rRNA from 1 species
AGGAUUCCCCUAGUAACGGCGAGUGAAGAGGGAAGAGCCCAAGAUUGAAAGCUGGCGCCUUCGGCGUCCGCAUUGUAAUCUCAAGAAGUGUUUUCCGCUUCGGACCAUGCCUAAGUCCCUUGGAAAAGGGCAUCAUAGAGGGUGAUAAUCCCGUACAUGGCAUGGAGCGCCCGAGGCUUUGUGAUACGCUUUCUAAGAGUCGAGUUGUUUGGGAAUGCAGCUCAAAAUGGGUGGNAAAUGCCAUCUAAGGCUAAAUAUUGGGGAGAGACCGAUAGCGAACAAGUACAGUGAUGGAAAGAUGAAAAGAACUUUGAAAAGAGAGUUAAACAGUACGUGAAAUUGCCAAAAGGGAAGGGUAGGAGGUCAGAGAUGCGUCUUGGGAUUCAGCCUUGCUUUUGCUUGGUGUUUUUCCCAAGUGGCAGGCCAACGUCGGUUUUGGGCACUGGAGAAGGGUGGAAGGAAUGUGGCACCUCUCGGGGUGUGUUAUAGCCUUCUACUGGAUACAGCGACCGGGACCGAGGACAGCAGCGUACUCGCAAGAGCGGGCCUUCGGGCACCUUUACGCUUAGGGCGUUGGCAUAAUGGCCCUCUACCACCCGUCUUGAAACACGGACCAAGGAGUCUA